rnacentral:pre_miRNA from 1 species
AGCCUUCUGUAUACGUGCUGAGAUUUCGUCACACACUAAACCACAAGGGCUGAUU